UACGUAGGUGGCAAGCGUUGUCCGGAUUUACUGGGCGUAAAGAGCGCGCAGGCGGUCGUUCAAGUCGCGUGUGAAAGCCCCCGGCUCAACUGGGGAGGGUCACGCGAUACUGAUCGACUCGAAGGCAGGAGAGGGAAAUGGAAUCCCCGGUGUAGUGGUGAAAUGCGUAGAUAUCGGGAGGAACACCAGUGGCGAAGGCGACUUCCUGGCCUGUUCUUGACGCUGAGGCGCGAAAGCUAGGGGAGCAAACGGG
rnacentral:rRNA from 1 species